rnacentral:misc_RNA from 1 species
GCCCAAAUUAUCUCUGUUCAUGUUCAUAUCAAGAUCAUUUUCGCUUACCAAUUUACCACUCAAAGCCUCAGAUAGAUUCCUACUUCUAUCAGCAUCACCAUCACCUACACCAUUCUUCUCAGGAUUCUUUUCAUCACAACUCAAAGAUCCAGCAUUCGACUUAAUAUCCACAUCAGAAGAAUCACUCAACUCCACAACUCCCCUUUCUAAGGAAUUC